UGGGGGAUAUUGCACAAUGGGGGGAACCCUGAUGCAGCGACGCCGCGUGAGUGAAGAAGUAUUUCGGUAUGUAAAGCUCUAUCAGCAGGGAAGAAGAGAGACGGUACCUGACUAAGAAGCCCCGGCUAACUACGUGCCAGCAGCCGCGGUAAUACGUAGGGGGCAAGCGUUAUCCGGAUUUACUGGGUGUAAAGGGAGCGUAGACGGUAUGGCAAGUCUGAAGUGAAAGCCCCGGGCUCAACCCGGGAGGUGCUUUGGAAACUGUUAAACUAGAGUGCUGGAGAGGCAGGCGGAAUUCCUAGUGUAGCGGUGAAAUGCGUAGAUAUUAGGAGGAACACCAGUGGCGAAGGCGGCCUGCUGGACAGUAACUGACGUUGAGGCUCGAAAGCGUGGGGAGCAAACAGG
rnacentral:rRNA from 1 species